UCACACUCUGCAGAUCACAGUACACUGUAUAUCACAUAUCAGUUUGGUAAACCCUCUUUCCUAGCUGCAUUCUGUCAAAUACACCAUGAUGUUGCUCAUUUCAAUCUUACUGUUUUCAGCACUUGUUGGUGAUACUUUAGAGGAUGAUAUUACUCCAACCAGCCCUGAGGAGUAUUAUUUAGACGGUAGCAGAGUUAAGAUCUCCUGUAACUAUACAGUAAAAUCAGAUAGUCUGCUGUGGUACAAACAGUACCCUGGAUCAGGUCUCCAAUUCCUUUAUAUAGUAACAACUACCAAUAUUCCAUAUGAAGUGAGAGGUGAUCCACAAGACUUUCGACUGACUGUUACACAGAACAAGGAGAGAACCCGUGUGGAUCUGGAGAUCUCUUCUGCUGAAGUGACAGACUCUGCUCUGUACUACUGUGCUCUGAGGCCCACAGUGACAGGAAACCCAGAAACACUGCACAAAAACCUAACAUCACCUGAGAGGAGUAUUUAA